rnacentral:rRNA from 1 species
CUUGAAGUAGAACAAGUUUUUAGUCACCAUGAUUUUUCUGAACUUGAGAGAGUACGAGCUACCAUUAGAGCAUUUACUGGUUUUGCUUCUGUUUGGUGGAGUGUACAUUGUAAGAAAAACAUUGAUAAUCAACCCACAACUUGGAAAGUUUUGAAAGCUGUAAUGAGACAACAAUUUUUUCCUCCUUACUAUCGUCGUGAAUUGCGUCGCAAAUUGGAGCAAUUAAAACAAGGCAGUAAUACUGUUCAUGCUUACUACCAAGAGUUCAAAUCUUAUAUGCAUCAUUGUGACAUAGAAGAAUCUGAGGAUGAUACAAUGAAUAGAUUUUUUGAUGGUUUGAACCAUGAUAUUCAGGCAAGAUUUCAGUAUAUUCCUCGUUGCAUUACUGGUAUGUAUGUCCGUGCUUGUACCUUUGAGAGACAAAUACAGGAGGAUGCAUUGGGUGACUACAACAACUACUAUUCCAGUUCAUGCUCACCACCGCCGGUUGGUUACUCCACUAUUGCACCUACUAGAGCA